rnacentral:rRNA from 1 species
AGAGUUUGAUCCUGGCUCAGAAUCAACGCUGGCGGCGCGCCUAACACAUGCAAGUCGAACGAGAAAGUGGAGCAAUCCAUGAGUACAGUGGCGUACGGGUGAGUAACACGUGGGUAAUCUGCCUCUUUGUGGGGAAUAACUCUGGGAACCGGAGCUAAUACCGCAUAAGCUCGAGAGAGGAAAGUCGCAAGACGCAGAGA